rnacentral:rRNA from 1 species
AUUGAACGCUGGCGGCAGGCCUAACACAUGCAAGUCGAGCGGAUGAAGGGAGCUUGCUCCCUGAUUCAGCGGCGGACGGGUGAGUAAUGCCUAGGAAUCUGCCUGGUAGUGGGGGACAACGCCUCGAAAGGAACGCUAAUACCGCAUACGUCCUACGGGAGAAAGCAGGGGACCUUCGGGCCUUGCGCUAUCAGAUGAGCAUAGGUCGGAUUAGCUAGUUGGUGAGGUAAUGGCUCACCAAGGCGACGAUCCGUAACUGGUCUGAGAGGAUGAUCAGGCACACUGGAACUGAGACACGGUCCAGACUCUUACGGGAGGCAGCAGUGGGGAAUAUUGGACAAUGUGCGAAAGCCUAAUCCAGCCAUGCCGCGUGUGUGAAGAAGGUCUUCGGAUUGUAAAGCACUUUAAGUUGGGAGGAAGGGUUGCUGAUUAAUACUCUGCAAUUUUGACGUUACCGACAGAAUAAGCACCGGCUAACUCUGUGCCAGCAGCCGCAGUAA